rnacentral:rRNA from 1 species
GCCCGCGUCUGAUUAGCUGGUUGGGAGGGUAACGUCCUACCAAGGCGACUAUCAGUAGCCGGCCUCAGAGGGCGGACGGCCACAUUGGGACUGAGACACGGCCCACUACUCCUACGAGGAGGCAGCUGGUGGGGAAUAUUGCACAAUGGGGGGAACCCUGAUGCAGCGACGCCGCGUGAGUGAAGAAGUAUUUCGGUAUGUAAAGCUCUAUCAGCAGGGAAGAAAAAAGGACGGUACCUGAGUAAGAAGCCCCGGCUAACUACGUGCCACCAGCCGCGGUAAUACGGUAGGGGGCAAGCGUUAUCCGGAAUUACUGGGUGUAAAGGGAGGGUAGACGGCAAUGCAAGUCCGGAGUGGAAUGCGGCAGCUCAACUGCCGAACUGCUCUGGAAACUGUCUGGCUUGAGUGCAGGAGGGGUAAGCGGAAUUCCUGGUGUAGCGGUGAAAUGCGUAGAUAUCAGGAGGAACACCGGUGGCGAAGGCGGCUUACUGGACUGUAACUGACGUUGAGGCUUGAAAGCGUGGGGAGCAAACAAAGUUAGAUACCCUGGUAGUUCACGCCGUAAAC